UAAGGAAUAUUGGUCAAUGGACGCAAGUCUGAACCAGCCAUGCCGCGUGAAGGAUGAAGGCCCUCUGGGUUGUAAACUUCUUUUACAGGGGAAGAAAAACAAGAAUUAUUUUUUGCUUGACGGUACCUUGGGAAUAAGCACCGGCUAACUCCGUGCCAGCAGCCGCGGUAAUACGGAGGGUGCAAGCGUUAUCCGGAUUCACUGGGUUUAAAGGGUGCGUAGGUGGGUCUGUAAGUCAGUGGUGAAAUCUCCGGGCUUAACCCGGAAACUGCCAUUGAUACUAUAGGUCUUGAAUUUUCUGGAGGUGAGCGGAAUAUGUCAUGUAGCGGUGAAAUGCUUAGAUAUGACAUAGAACACCAAUUGCGAAGGCAGCUCGCUACAGGAAUAUUGACACUGAGGCACGAAAGCGUGGGGAUCAAACAG
rnacentral:rRNA from 1 species